GAUGAACGCUGGCGGCGUGCCUAAUACAUGCAAGUCGAGCGAACAGACGAGGAGCUUGCGCCGCUGACGUUAGCCGCGGACGGGAGAGUAACACGUGUAUAACCUACCUAAAAGACGGGGAAAACCUCGGGAAACCGGAGCAAAUAGCGGAGAAGAUAUUGAACCGCAGGGGGGAAUAGUGAAAGACGGUGGUGCUGGCACUAAUAGAGGGAUCCGAGCCGGAUGAGCUAGUUGGGGAGGUAACGGCUUACCAAGGCGACUAGGCGUAGCCGACCGGAGAGGGUGAUCGGCCACACUGGAGCUGGGACGCGGUCCAGGCUCCUACGGGAGGCCGCAGUCGGGAACCUUCCGCAGUGGGCGAAAGCCUGACGGAGCAACGCCGCGUCAGUGAUGACGGUCUUCGGAUCGUAAAACUCUGUUAUUAGGGAAGAACCAAUGUGUACGUAGCUAUGCCCGUCUUGACGGUACCUAAUCAGAAAGCCCCGGCUAACUACGUG
rnacentral:rRNA from 1 species